rnacentral:lncRNA from 1 species
ACAUACACAGAUUCACACCUCAUAUACAACAACAAUAUACAAACCCACAUCAUCAUCUCCAUAUUUCUCUUCUACAUAAUAUACCAUUAACCUCACCAUUAACGGACAGCUUCCUCACCAUUCCAACAGCUCACACAUCUCUCUCGCAGAUCUAUGCACGAAAUCACAUGCGUAUAAGGUGAGUAAACUAAAAAAUGAAGAGAUCUUCGAGGGAGUUCCUGUCAAUGUCUUCGAGAUUUUCCGGCUAAGUUUU